rnacentral:rRNA from 1 species
GACGAACGCUGGCGGCGUGCCUAACACAUGCAAGUCGAACGAGGUCCAUGCAGUGGCAACACUGCGGAAGACCUAGUGGCGAACGGGUGAGUAACACGUGAGGAACCUGCCCCGAAGACCGGGAUAACCCUCCGAAAGGAGAGCUAAUACCGGAUACCCCCACCUGAUCGCAUGAUCGGGUGAGGAAAAUGGAUUCCGCUUCGGGAGGGCCUCGCGGCCUAUCAGCUUGUUGGUGGGGUAACGGCCCACCAAGGCAUCGACGGGUAGCUGGUCUGAGGAGGACGAUCAGCCACACUGGGACUGAGACACGGCCCAGACUCCGUACGGGAGGCAGCAGGUGGGGAAUCUGCGCAAGUGGGACGAAAGCCUGACGCAGCAACGCCGCGGUGGGGA